rnacentral:rRNA from 1 species
AGCUCCAAUAGCGUAUAUUAAAGUUGUUGCAGUUAAAAAGCUCGUAGUUGGAUUUCGGAAUGGGCCAGUUGGUCCGCCGCAAGGUGAGUUACUGACUGGUUUGUUCUUCUUCGCAAAGACUGCGUGUGCUCUUUACUGAGUGUACGUAGGAUUUACGACGUUUACUUUGAAAAAAUUAGAGUGUUCAAAGCAGGCUAUCGCUUGAAUACAUGAGCAUGGAAUAAUGGAAUAGGACUUUGGUUCUAUUUUUUUGGUUUCUAGGACCGAAGUAAUGAUUAAGAGGGACAAUUGGGGGCAUCCGUAUUUCGUUGUCAGAGGUGAAAUUCUUGGAUUUACGAAAGACAAACAACUGCGAAAGCACUUGCCAAGAGUGUGUUCA